rnacentral:rRNA from 1 species
CGAGAAGGCCUUCGGGCUGAGUACAGCGGCGGACGGGUGAGUAACGCGUAGGAAUCUACCUGGUAGUGGGGGACAACAUGGGGAAACUCAUGCUAAUACCGCAUACGCCCUAUGGGGGAAAGCGGGGGACCUUCGGGCCUCGCGCUAUCAGAUGAGCCUGCGUAGGAUUAGCUUGUUGGUGAGGUAAAGGCUCACCAAGGCGACGAUCCUUAGCUGGUCUGAGAGGAUGAUCAGCCACACUGGGACUGAGACACGGCCCAGACUCCUACGGGAGGCAGCAGUGGGGAAUAUUGCGCAAUGGGCGAAAGCCUGACGCAGCCAUGCCGCGUGUGUGAAGAAGGCCUUCGGGUUGUAAAGCACUUUCAAUUGGGAAGAAAGGUUGCGUGUUAAUAGCACGUAGCUGUGACGUUACCUUUAGAAGAAGCACCGGCUAACUCCGUGCCAGCAGCCGCGGUAAUACGGAGGGUGCGAGCGUUAAUCGGAAUUACUGGGCGUAAAGCGCGCGUAGGCGGUUUGUUAAGUCGGAUGUGAAAGCCCUGGGCUCAACCUGGGAACUGCAUUCGAUACUGGCCGACUAGAGUACGAGAGAGGGAGGUAGAAUUCC